AGCGAACGCUGGCGGCAGGCUUAACACAUGCAAGUCGAGCGGGCCCUUCGGGGUCAGCGGCAGACGGGUGAGUAACGCGUGGGAACGUGCCCUUCGGUUCGGAAUAACUCAGGGAAACUUGAGCUAAUACCGGAUACGCCCUUAUGGGGAAAGGCUUGCUGCCGAAGGAUCGGCCCGCGUCUGAUUAGCUAGUUGGUGAGGUUAUGGCUCACCAAGGCGACGAUCAGUAGCUGGUCUGAGAGGAUGAUCAGCCACACUGGGACUGGGACACGGCCCAGACUCCUACGGGAGGCAGCAGUGGGGAAUAUUGGACAAUGGGGGCAACCCUGAUCCAGCCAUGCCGCGUGAGUGAUGACGGCCUUAGGGUUGUAAAGCUCUUUUCUCCGGGACGAUAAUGACGGUACCGGAGGAAUAAGCCCCGGCUAACUUCGUG
rnacentral:rRNA from 1 species